GGAGGUCCCUACUCAACAAAUCAGGAAACCAUAAGCUGAGAAGAAAAAGUAGAAGUGGCUUGGGCGGGUAAUGGACAGCAUUUUCCACAUCAUCUCUCCAUAUCAAAUUACUUUUCAGCACCAGUGUAAAUAUUUCAUCUUCCUAUUUCCAGUUGAACCAUUCCAGCCCAAUGGCAUAUGAGCAGUUAUAUACUUGAAGGCAUGGAAGAAUAGAGGCAGUGGGGCGUGGUCUUAAUGUGCCUUUCUUAAAAGUCUGUCUCCUACUCUCUUUUAUUGAGUUCUACAUAAUUUUAGCAACUAUAUUUCUGAUUCAGUCCAGGCAAAUAAAAUUCUUUUUAUAGCCUAAAAGCUGCAAUACACAAUAAUCAACAAUCGCCUAUAAAAGGGAUGCUGCUAAAAUUAAGAGUCCUGUUUCUUCAGGUGUGAAAAGAGGACAGAAUUCCAAACCAUAAAGCUACCUAGAAACAACUUGUUAAAUAAAAUUCAAGGCUGAAAACACAAGAACAAAAAAUCUCUAUUUAGUUACCAUGGGAGUGUCCUUUAAAGAUAUAUGUAAGGUGUCUUCUUGGGGAAAGGAUAGUCUUUUCAACAAAUGAUGUUAGGAAAACUGGAUAUCCCCAUGCGAAAUAAAAUUGGACCCUUUCCUUACACAAUGUACAAAAAUUAACUCAAAUAGAUUAAAAACAAGUAUGGAGUUCCUGUUGUGGCACAGCGGAAAUGAAUCCGACUAGGAACCAUGAGGUUGAGGGUUUGAUCCCUGGCCUUGCUCAGUGGGUUAAGGAUACAGUGUUGCCAUGAGCUGUGGUGUAGGUCGCAGACAUGGCUCGGAUCUGGCAUUGCUGUGGCUCUGGUGUAGGCUGGCAGCUGUAGCUCUGAUUGGACCCCUGGUCUGGGAACCUCCAUGUGCCGUGGGUGCGGCCCUAAAAAGACAAACAGCAACAAACGUAUAUAUUAGAACUGAAACUAUAAAAUGCCUAGAAGAAAAGGGGGAACCUUCAUGUCAUUGGUCUUAGUAAUAACUUCAUGAAUUUGACACCAAAAGUAGAGGCAACAAAAACAAACACGAACAAGUGGGACUACAUCAAACUAAAAAACUUCUACACAGCAAAGUAAACAAUCAACAGAAUGAAAAGGCAACCUUCAUAAUGGGAGAAAAUUUUUUUUUUUUUUGGCUCAAAAAGGGCCACACCCACAGCACAUGAAGGUUCCCAGGCUAGGGGUUGAAUCAGAGCUACAGCUGCCAGUCUACACCACAGCCACAGCCACGCCAGAUCCAAGUCACAUCUGUGACCUACACCACAGCUCAAGGCAACGCCAGAUCCCCAACCCACUGAACAAGGCCAGGGAUCGAACCCAUGUCCUCAUGGAUGCUGGUCAGGUUCAUAAUUGCCAAGCCACAACGGGAACUCCUGGAAGAAAAUAUUUUCAAAACACGUAUCUUAUAAGGGUUAAUUUCCAAAAUACAUAAGGAAGUCCUACAACUUCGUAACAAAAACCUCUGAUAAUCCAGGUAAAAACUGGCCUAAGAACUUGAAUAGACACUUCUCAAAGGAUACAUACAAAUGACCAAUAGGUGUAUGAAAAGAUUUUCAACAUCACUAAUCUUCAGAGAAAUACAACUCAAAACGACAAUGGGUAUUACCUCAUACCUAUUAAGAUAGCUGUUAUCAAAAAAUCAAGACAAGUUGUGUUGGAGGAUGUGGAGAAAUUGAAACUCUUUCACAACAUUGGUAGGAAGCAAAAUGGUGCAGAUGCUAUGGAACAAAGUAUAAAAGUUUCUCAAAAAAUAAAAAAUAGAACUACCAUAUGAUCCAGCAUUUCACUUCUGAGCAUUUAUCCAAAUGAUUGAAAUUAAGAUCUCAAGGAGAUACUAUCAGUCCAUGUUGGUUGCAGCACUAUUCACAAUAACUAAGUUGUUGAAACAACCUAAAUGUCCAUCAGCUGAUAAAUGGAUGAAAAAAAGUAUGAUAUAUACAUAUGGUGGAGUACUAUUUAGUCUUUAAAAAGAAGGAUGUUUUGUAAGAUAUGACAACAUGAUGGAUUUUGAGGACAUUUUGCCAGGUGAAAUAAGCCAAACUCCUGAAAGACAAAUACUGCAUGACUCUACUUAUUUCAGUAUCUAAAAUAGUCAAAUUUCAGGAAUUCCUGGUGUGGCAUAGUGUGUUGAGAAUCUGAAUGCAGCAGCUGGCGUUGUUGCAGAGGUGCGGGUUUGAUUUCUGGCCUGGUGCAAUGGGUUAAAGGACCCGAUGUUGCUGUAGCUGUGGCUGGGAUUCAAUCCCUGGCCAUUAAAAAUAAAUAAAUAAAAAUAAACAGUUAUUAAAAGAAUAAAAAAUAGUCAAAUUGUAAAAUCAAAGAUUAAAUUGAGUGUUACCGGAGGCUACGGGAGAAGGAAGUGAGUUAUUAAUCAACAGGUGUGAAGCUUCAGUUUAUUAAGAUAAAUAAGCUGUAGAGAUCUGCUAUAAAACAUUGUAUGUAUAGUUAACAAUAAUGCAAUGUACACUUAAAGUUAGUUAAAAAGGUAGAUCUUUUGAAAAGGUUCUUAGCAAAAUAAAAUUAAAAAAAAUUUUUUUAAAAGUCUCCCUGGAGACAACUUUAAUUCUAUUGUUGAACAGUCUCUCCUAGAGAAUGUAAGCAUUAAUCUUAAAACUCCUCAUGCUAACAGGUUAUUGUAGGAGAGUAUAUUCAAAUCGGCAUCUGAAAAUUCUAAAGAAAUAUAAAAAUGUAUUCUUUUGAGGUGACAAGAACUUCAAACUUUAUCCCUGUCCUUCUUUUCAUUAGCCAAAUGAGAAAUUAAUAAGUCACUGACUCUGAGGUAUUUAAUCUUAAAACUGCAAGGGUAUUUUCUUUCUGCAAGAACACAGCUUCCUUGUUUGAAGCAGAAUCUACUCAAUUGAGGGCCAGAACUUGGGACUGUUGCCAAUCCCAUGAAUUUUUUUUCCUGCUUUCUAGGGACUCAUGUAGAACAAUUUAAGGAAUUAAAUGGAAAUGGAAACUCACGAAUUCACUCUAAGCUAGAAUCUCUUCUCUUCCAUGAAACUUUAUGAAGCAGAUGCAGGUAAUUUGAUAAUUCCCUAUUUUAUAAUUUUGAAAUCCUUUUGAUUCCUCUUGGGAAAUCAAAGUUAAUCCAGAAAAAUCCUAUACUCUAUUGUUACAGGCCAGGCAUUUCUCAGGUGCCCUAGCUGAAUUAACUCUUAUCUUCUCAACAGUCCUAAAAAGUGAGUGCUUUUAUUAGCAUCCCCUUUUUAUAGAUAGGAAAAAAGAGGCACAGAAAGGUUAAACUGCCUAUCCAAGAUUGCAUGGUAAGUACAUGGCAGAAACAAGUUUCACUCCCAGGCCUAUUAAUUCUGGAGCCAACAUUUUUAACCACUUUAACUUACAUGGAAGAUUACUGGAUGUGUAUCCUGACUAUACCCUGAGUUGUGUGUCACUAAAUCACAAAUACAUCAAGAUUUGGAAGGAGGAUCCUUCAAAAAAUUACCUUGACAUAAAGUUACUGUUUUUUUAAAGAAACUUUGUCAUUUAUUGAGUCUAACAGUAAUUGUUACUACAGAAAAUAAUAAAAGUACAUUUUAUUAAACAGUCAGUCUCUACCAGAGUGGUUUAAAAGUUAUCAAAAUAUUACUGUCCUAGAAUCCCUAUAAUUCUUACUGCUUCAGUCUCGUCAAUUCCUGAAACAUUAGUGAAAAUAACCCUGCAGAUGAUCACAUUCUGAAGGACAGUGUGUCUGAUAACCUGGUUUUACAGGACUUUAACUGCUGUGGGAUUAUUAGAGCAAAUUUACUAUAUUAAAAAGGGAACAGUGUUUUAUUUAAAAUUCUGAGAGUGCCCAUUGUGGCUUAGUGGGUUAAGGACCUGACAUAGUCUCCAUGAGGAUGGGGGUUUGGUCCCUGGCCACACUCAGUGGAUUAAGGAUUCGGCGUUGCGGCAAGCUGUGGUGUAGGUUGCAAUUGCGGCUUGAAUCCAGUGUUGCCAUGGCUGUGGUGUAGGCCUCAGAUGCAGCUCCAAUUCCACCACUGGCCCGGGAACUUCCAUAUGCUAUAGGUGUGGCCAUAAAAAGGAAAAAGUAAAUUUUUUUUAAUUAAAUAAAAUUAUGGAACAGUGCAUAGUUUGUACAUGAUAUGGCACGUAGGAGAAUUUUCUUGUAGAUUAUAGUUAAACUAGGGUAACUUUAUUUUUACCUGUUACAAAGGUAAAAUUAAGAUGUAUUAAUUGAGUCAUGUCCACCAGUUUGAGAUUCCUGAAGAGAAGAAUGAACAGCAGGAGGACGGGGAUGAAGAGCAGGAGAAAGAAGGAUUCUGAAUGGAUUAAUUCAUACUUCUAAUAAAGGGAAAAUAGAGAUGUGAUCUUGGUCUCCCCUAUUAAAAUUCUUUUCUCAAUGUGAACUUUUUUUUUGGAUGGCUGGAGGCAUAUUUCCCCUAUCUUUGGGUCCUAUCCAUCUCAAAAAGGAUAAAAAUAGGCAUUUUUUGUAAGCAGAAGAUUAAGUUCAUUAUCUCAAUUCAAGGGUAAAUUUCAUAGGUAAAUGAGCCUACUCUUUAAUAAGUUAAAGAAGAAAAUGUUAUAAAUCAAAUAUUUCAAAUAAAGUCAUUAUCUGUGAUGAUGUCAUAUAGCUUUAACCUACUGAAUAGAUAUUCAUUCAUUGGUUCUGUCAGUCACUGAUUGAGCAAGUAUUUAUUAAUUAUCUAUUAUGUCUCAGGUACCCUUUUAGGUACCAGGGAGGCAGCAAUGGAUGAAACAAAGUCCCUGUUCUCACAGAGCUUACAAUCUAGUGGGGUAGGGAUGGGGGUCUCCUAAUCUACAUAUAGACAAGUAAAGGUGUGUGUUAGAUGGUGACAAGUGCUGGGAAGAAAAGACAGCCAGAAUGGGAGGGAAGUGGUCAGGAAAGGCCUUUCUGAUAAAGUAGCAAAGAGCAAAUGACCUUAUUUGGUUUCCAUGGUAUACAUUUGGUAAAUGGUUCAUCUUAGAGACCCUGCCUGGAAGUAUCGUUGCUUAAAGUUAGGCAGUUCUGUGGGAGUGUUAUUGAUAUUCUAUGUAGCCAACGUAGUUGUCUACUUAUAUAAACCUUAAAUUUUUUUCUAGUCUAAAAUUACAAACAUGAUAUAGAACUUCAUGGCUUUGAUUUUCCAUUCAUCUCUGGCUUAACAUGUGUUAAAUAAAUGUUUUCUAAGGAGAGUCAUGGCCUAACAUACAAAUAUUAAUUUAAUUCACUUCCAACUAGAGUUAAAAAACUUUCAAACUUGGUGGCUGUUCUUGUAAACACUUCUGUAUUUUCAAGAGGAGCUCAGUUUUCUAUUAAGGCAGAUUUAUUUGGCACACAAGAAUAGCUGUGUUCUGGAUACAUGCCAAAGAAUAAAACUGAACACUAAUAAAAGGAUAAAGAUAACUAAUAGUAUUGAAUACUUCUGGUUAUUCUGACAUGUUAAAACAUUUUAUGUCUAUUUCUUUCACUUCAUUAUUACAGCUACCCUCUGAAACAAGUCUAUUUAUUUAUUUAUUUUAUUUAAAGAAAGGAAGUUCGGUACUUUUUGUUUGUUUGUUUUGGCUGUGCCUAUAGCACAUGACUGAAUCACUAUGCUAUACAGAAGAAAUUGACACAACAUUGCAAAUCAACUGUACUCUAAUAAAAAUAAAAUAUAAAAAAGAAUAGUAACGAAUGUUGUUCAAUACCUAUACAGCUCAUAAAGGACUUUCACACUAGGGUUUAUUCAUUUACUAUUAUUAAUAUUAAUAUCAAUUAUAAUAUUUAAGGGAAAUGCUUGGAACUUUGGGCGGAUUAUCUUAGUUAAUUCUCAACACAAUACUUUAUAGCAAGAGUCAGUACAUGCUAUUUUACAAGUGAGGAAACAAAAGUUGACCUAGGUUAAGUAUUGAAAAAAAUAUUCUGAUUAAUUAAAAAUUUUAAUGAUAUAGAAAAGGUUACAGUAUUUCAUGAGAUGUUUGCAUAAUAGAUUACUGAAAAUUUGAUGAUCUUGGGAGGAAAAUGUGGUGUGAAUUUGGUUAUUCCUACUUAUUUUUAUGUAAGGUGUUUUGAACAUAAGGACAGUUUCUGGAAACAUGAUGACCAGCCUGAAUGCUUUCACUUCCCCUCCAUUCUCAGUCCUAACUGUAGGAUUUGAGCAGGAGGUCUUGGGUUCUAGGGGAUGAUUCUCCUCAGGAGACUGCUUUGGGGCUUUGUCUCUGAGGGUCAAGCCAGAGCCUCUAAACUCCUGUGGGGGAGCCCUAGGACAGGAAUUAGAAUCAGGAAGCCUUGAGAAACGUGUAUACUUCCAGGGGUAAAACUGGCACUGUCUCCAUAUGAAUACACCUGUUCUCUCUGGUCCCCAAGAAGAGGAGCAAAAACUGAGUACCUGGGCUAAGUCUGUACUGUGGAAGGAGACAGUAGAGUUGGGUGGCUUCUUCCUAGCUCUCUCCUCUGUCCCUUGGGCAGAUAAAAGAAAUGCUUUUCCUUCCUCUUGGUGGACCACGACCACUUACGAUACAUCAGACUUGAGACUAAAUGUGGCAACAACAACAGAAAAGGCAAGAGUUAUAGCUUAUGGAGUUCUGUUGUGGCGCAGUGGGUUAAGGAUCUGGCAUUGUCACUGCAGCAGUUCAGGUCACUGAUGUGGUGCUGGUUUGAGCCCUGGCCCAGGAACUUCAACAUGCUGUAGGUACAGAAAAAAAAAAAAAAAAAAAAAAAGGAAAAAAAAAAAAAAA
rnacentral:lncRNA from 1 species